rnacentral:rRNA from 1 species
CGGGGGGAGCAAGCGUUGUUCGGAUUUACUGGGCGUAAAGGGCGCGUAGGCGGCGCGACAAGUCACUUGUGAAAUCUCCGGGCUCAACUCGGAACGGCCAAGUGAUACUGUCGUGCUAGAGUGCGGAAGGGGCAACUGGAAUUCUCGGUGUAGCGGUGAAAUGCGUAGAUAUCGAGAGGAACACCUGCGGCGAAGGCGGGUUGCUGGGCCGACACUGACGCUGAGGCGCGAAAGCUAGGGGAGCGAACGGGAUUAGAUACCCCGGUAGUCCUAGCCUUAAACGAUGAAUGCUUGGUGUCCGGGGUUAGAUAGUCCCCGGGUGCCGUCGCUAACGCUGUAAGCAUUCCGCCUGGGGAGUACGGUCGCAAGACUG